rnacentral:rRNA from 1 species
UACGUAGGGGGCAAGCGUUGUCCGGAAUUAUUGGGCGUAAAGAGCUCGUAGGCGGUUUGUCGCGUCUGCUGUGAAAUCUGGGGGCUCAACCCCCAGCCUGCAGUGGGUACGGGCAGACUAGAGUGCGGUAGGGGAGAUUGGAAUUCCUGGUGUAGCGGUGGAAUGCGCAGAUAUCAGGAGGAACACCGAUGGCGAAGGCAGAUCUCUGGGCAGUAACUGACGCUGAGGAGCGAAAGCAUGGGGAGCGAACAGG